rnacentral:rRNA from 1 species
GCUCACACCGGUUUAAACUCAGAUCAUGUAAAAUUUUAAAGGUCGAACAGACCUAAAAUCUUAGCUUCUGCACCAAAAUUUAAUUUUAAUCCAACAUCGAGGUCGCAAUCUUCUUAUUCGAUAAGAACUCUAAAAAAAAUCACGCUGUUAUCCCUGAGGUAAUUUUAUCUUCUAAUCUUUAUUUAAGGAUCAAGCAAUCAUAAAUCAAUGUAGAAUACAAAAAAAAGUUAACUAAAUUUUUCUGUCACCCCAACUAAAUACAUUAAAAAAUACUAAACUUCUAAAUAAAAAUUUAAAUAUAAAAAAAUAUAUGAAACUCUACAGGGUCUUCUCGUCUUCUACUCCUAUCUAAGCUUUUUCACUUAAAAAUAAAAUUCUACCAAACUCUAACAGAGACAGUCAUUUUCUCAUAAAACCAUUCAUACAAGCUUUCAAUUAAAAAACUAAUGAUUAUGCUACCUUUGUACGGUCAAAAUACCGCAGCCAUUCAAUUACUCAUUGGGCAGGCCCGACUUGAAAUUAU